AUGAACGAGCUGCUGAGUGCUGAGUUCACCAAGGAAGAAGUAAAGGCUGCCAUAGAGUCAAUUGGCGAUCUAAAGGCUCCAGGGCCUGAUGGGAUGUCUGCAAUAUUUUUCAAGAGAUUUUGGCACAUUGUGGGGGAAAAGGUUACUCUUGAGAUUCUACAGUUUCUCAAAGGAGGUGGAUGGGGAUAUGUGCUUAGAAAUGACAAAGGAGAGGUGUUGGCAGCAGGUGCAGGAUCUAUGCAGCACAUUUCUGAAGCUAGCCAUGUAGAAAGUCUAGCACUCCUCCAGGCAAUCAAUAGGGCAAAUGAGCUGGGAUGUAACCGAUUAAUUUUUGAAACUGAUGCUUUUGUACUGAAACAAACAGUAACGAGUGAAGCUUACGACAACUCAAGGCAUGGAGCACUGUUUAAAGAAAUCAAAACAUUACUGCAUACAUACUUUGAUGAUGCAAGUGUUGAAUGGUGUAAUCGUUCCUGCAACUCUGUUGCUCAUAGUGUAGCGUCCUUUGGCGCUGGUUUGGAAUUAGGUAGCCAACAACACUGGCUAGGUGUAUUUCCAAACUUUGUAAAUGUUGCGGUGGCUGGCGAUGUGCCACACCGUAUUAUGUAA
rnacentral:rRNA from 1 species